ACGGGUGAGUAAUGUCUGGGAAACUGCCUGAUGGAGGGGGAUAACUACUGGAAACGGUAGCUAAUACCGCAUAACGUCGCAAGACCAAAGAGGGGGACCUUCGGGCCUCUUGCCAUCGGAUGUGCCCAGAUGGGAUUAGCUAGUAGGUGGGGUAACGGCUCACCUAGGCGACGAUCCCUAGCUGGUCUGAGAGGAUGCCAGCCACACUGGAACUGAGACACGGUCCAG
rnacentral:rRNA from 1 species